GCUUGCCUCGCACCACGCUGAAAAGACCUGUCAAAGGACCCCUAAACUCUGUUUUUACAACUGUAUCUCUGAGUCUAUUAUACAAAUAAGUUAAAACUUUCAACAACGGAUCUCUUGGCUCUGGCAUCGAUGAAGAACGCAGCGAAAUGCGAUAAGUAAUGUGAAUUGCAGAAUUCAGUGAAUCAUCGAAUCUUUGAACGCACAUUGCGCCUGAUAGUAUUCUGUCAGGCAUGCCUGUUCGAGCGUCAUUUCAACCCCCAAGCCCUAUUUGCUUGACGUUGGGAGUUUACGGAGACGUAAUUCCUCAAAUAUAGUGGCGGAGCUAGGUCGUGCUCUAAGCGUAGUAACCACAAUUCUCGCUUCUGCAGCCGGCUUAGGUCCUGCCGUAAAACCCCUAUAUUUUUUUAUUGGUUGACCUCGGAUCAGGUAGGAAUACCCGCUGAACUUAAGCAUAUCAAUAAGCGGAGGAAAAGAAACCAACAGGGAUUGCCCUAGUAACGGCGAGUGAAGCGGCAACAGCUCAAAUUUGAAAUCUGGCCCUCGGGUCCGAGUUGUAAUUUGCAGAGGAUGCUUUUGGCGCGGUGCCUUCCGAGUUCCCUGGAACGGGACGCCUUAGAGGGUGAGAGCCCCGUACGGUUGGACACCAAGCCUCUGUAAAGCUCCUUCGACGAGUCGAGUAGUUUGGGAAUGCUGCUCUAAAUGGGAGGUAAAUUUCUUCUAAAGCUAAAUACCGGCCAGAGACCGAUAGCGCACAAGUAGAGUGAUCGAAAGAUGAAAAGCACUUUGAAAAGAGGGUUAAAUAGCACGUGAAAUUGUUGAAAGGGAAGCGUUUACGGCCAGACCUUUUCCUGGCGGAUCAUCUGGUGUUCUCACCAGUGCACUCCGCCAGGUUUAGGCCAGCAU
rnacentral:rRNA from 1 species